CCCAUACCUAUACUUUAACCCUCUAUCAGUACUGAGUAUUUCUAUACCUUUAUAGAAGAUUUUAUGUUGAAACUAGUAACAAGAAGUCAGACCUUCUCUUAAAUGCAAGCAUAAAUCAGAAUGGACUGACCACUGAUAAUUAACGCUAAUGAUCACCAAUCAGCAACCUCCAAAGAAAAAUCUUAUUUCCUACAGCGUCAACCUGACACAAGAGCAUUUCAAGAAAGAUUUAAAGAAAAAGAAGGAACUCGGCAAAUAUUAACCCCGCCUGUUUACCAAAAACAUCGCCUCUUGAACAAAAAUAAGAGGUCCAGCCUGCCCAGUGACUAAUGUUCAACGGCCGCGGUAUCCUAACCGUGCGAAGGUAGCGUAAUCACUUGUUCUUUAAAUGAGGACUAGUAUGAAUGGCACCACGAGGGUUAUACUGUCUCCUCUUUCUAAUCAGUGAAACUAAUCCCCCCGUGAAGAAGCGGGGAUUAAACUAUAAGACGAGAAGACCCUAUGGAGCUUUAAAUUUACCCUCAAACGCCAAAAUCAUACAGCAAGUUUUAAACUUCACCACACGAACUUUCGCGCCAUGAGGGCAACUUUUAGGUUGGGGUGACCAUGGAGUAUAAAAUAACCUCCAUACUGAACAGGCCUCCAAGCCUCGAACCAAGGGCCACGACCCGCCGCACUAAAAUAUUAACAUCCAUUGAUCCAAUGUAUUUUGAUCAACGAACCAAGUUACCCUAGGGAUAACAGCGCAAUCUACUUCAAGAGUUCCUAUCGACAAGUGGGUUUACGACCUCGAUGUUGGAUCAGGGUGUCCCAGUGGUGCAGCCGCUACUAAUGGUUCGUUUGUUCAACGAUUAAAACCCU
rnacentral:rRNA from 1 species